GUCUCCUCCUGACAGAGCAAUUAAAACAUAUGAUUUAUUUACUAAACCGUCUAUGAGGAAGCCUUAGUAAUGAUGCCUGCUCUGACAGUUUCCCAUGUGGCUACCUUUAGGGAUCCUUUCAGAGUUAAGUGAUUAUUUCUGCUCCAGUGAUAUUUAAUGGACUUUGCAAAACUAAGUGGGGAACUGUCAACUGACCAAUUUCAAAAUGGAGCCUAGAAGGCCAGACUGGACUUUCUGAUUUCUAAAGUUACGCAGGUGAAUUAAUACUCCUCUGGAUAUCCUGGGCUUGACCAGGAUUUUGAGUUGGCAAGGACUACUACUUCUAGACUGCAGUUGGCUCAGAAAUGCUCCGGUGGUUAUAGAUCUGAACUCUCCGUCAAACUCCAUCUUCAAUUUAUUAUACUGGAUUCAAGUCUCUCAGGAGACUGGAACCAGGAGAAGGGACUCUGAAGAAAACACAGCAUGAAAACUAGAGAGCAGAUGAUCAGAUUAACCGCUAUUGGAUUUGUUCGCGGGGCCACAAUCUGACGGGAACAGGCUUGGUUCCAAGGCCUAUGGAGAUUUAAGCCAUCAACCUUCCCCCCCGCCCCCCGCCCCUUAUCCCAGUCACACUACUCUUUUCGUAAAGUCUCUCCCCUCUCCUCCCAUCAUCGUGGUGAUUUUUUUUUUUCUUACCCAUUUAAAGUCUUCUUCCAAAAGGAUGAGGUUAAUACUUCAGAGGCUUCAGAGGUGGCGCUAUCAGAUCGACUGAUGGAUUUCAAG